AUAGAACAUGCAAAACCACAAAAACUUAUUAGCAUAACUAGCAACAAGCAAACAACAACAUGCCCUUAUUGCACAUGUAUCUUUGUGAAUUUCAGCUCUGGCAUUCAGCCUCUAUCAUCCCAACCUUGCUUUCUAUACUUGCUACCUGUAGAUAUAAGCACUCUAGACUAGUUGAACAAUAUGACGGCAAAGUUAUUACCUUUGAGAUGCUGCUGCCCAAGUUCCCCCUUUCAGUCUAUCACAGCACUAUCAGUUCUGUAAAAUAUAUUUCCUAACUGUUUUAGCAAAACUGCCACUAGAGAUCUAUCUUUGGUUUUUGAAUUGCCUUUAAAAUAUAGAUGAGAUAGUAGGAUCAUGCCAAUCAUGGAUGGUGCUGUAAAAGUGCAUUGAAGAAUCUGAGGCAAGAACCAUUUUGACAUAGACCAAAUGGCUUUCCCUGUUAUCUUGUAUGUUUUUCCUCUGGAUUAAUUAACCAUAGAAAAUUAUUUUGGAAUUCACAGUCCAAAUCACCA
rnacentral:misc_RNA from 1 species